rnacentral:snoRNA from 1 species
ACUGAACUAUGGCUGCACAUUGUCAGAAAUGCCUCAUAGAGUAACUCUGUGGUUUUGUUUUGCUCACAGGUCUGUUUCUUAGGCCUGUGAUAAGAGUCUAUAAGACAGCA